UGGUUGUGUCUCUAGCUACGAACACAAGGAAAGAUCCAGUUGGCUCACUCCUACUGCCCCAGAACAUUCCUUCUGGGCCCCCACAUCUGGUGCGCAACAGAGCAGGUAAGGAAUUCAAGGAACCUGAUAAGUAAAUCCAGAAGAUUGAAGGGUGUGAAGAGAACAAGAAAUGAAGAAGCAGCAGACACAGACUACUAGAAACAUGCCUCAUAGUGUGGUGGACCUUUUAAUUCUUAGAAGCCUGGUAAUGCCUUGUAAUUAACUGAUGUUUUCUGCCUUUUACAACUAUGAGAAGAAAAUGCAUAUUUUCAUUGCCUUCUACAAGCAGCACAAAGAAAUGCUGGCGUUCCCUUGUUAAUGAUGCUGGGGAACCAAGAACGGGAUCUGAAGUCA